GAUUCUUCCCCUCUCCCUGGGAGAGGGUACUCCCCUCUUUCCCUCUCCCCAGGGAGAGGGAAUGGGGAAGGGAAAGCCCGAUAAAAUCUCAUUAUGCAAUGGAAGCCAUCAUGCAAUCACCUUCCACAUGCACAAGCAUUAGAGAAAGCCCGAUUAGAAGAGUUCUUAGGCAGAAGCUCAGCUUGAGGGAGAUCAGCAUGGCUCAGAGGAAAGAAAAAUCCAAUCUUCGAGGAGAUGCUCCUAGUUCCGGUGACAAAAUUCUUCAAGGAUCUGCUAAAGAAACCCCUAGCAAGCAUGAGCCAAGCCACUUGCCUCUUCCUAAAGUAUAACUUGGAGAUAAGAUGCUUAAGUUAGAUAUAAAAUCGAACGACAAAGGUAAAUGUUCAACUACAACAAAGGAGCUUCAUAUCGUCGAUCUGUCAAAUGGAACUAAAUGGAUAAUCGAUGACAAGAUUGUAGUCGAUCUACUCAAAAAGUACAAGUCUGCACCUGAUCAGAAGACGAAAGAUGAAAUUAUAAAACUUCUUCAGUCAAGGGUUGCUUCGUUGAGCACCAAACGUCGAGGCCGGCCAAUCCCAUGAGAUUUGCCAAGCAUCAAAGGACAGAGCAGGAGGUGGUUUGGAUGGAAAUCGUUUGGACUCCGACAAGCCCAAAAAUCAAAAAUAUCAAGAGAGCAAGAUAACCAAGGGCCUUCAAAAUUUGAAACUCGACACUAAUAACAAGGCUGGCAAGGAAAAAGAAGUGGAUAGAUACAAAAUGAAAUAAAUGAUUCGUUAAAUAAUGUUUUUAGGACCUCAAAGAUUUGUGGCUUGCGGUGAUUGUGUAGCAUGAUAACACCACAACUUUUGAGAAUCUUGUGGCAUGUAGAAGCUUGAUGUUAUCGCAUAUAAUGAGGCAAUGUGGUCUUUUACCUUUGAA